rnacentral:rRNA from 1 species
AUAAGGAGCUUGCUCCUUUGACGUUAGCGGCGGACGGGUGAGUAACACGUGGGUAACCUACCUAUAAGACUGGGACAACUUCGGGAAACCGGAGCUAAUACCGGAUAAUAUGUUGAACCGCAUGGUUCAAUAGUGAAAGAUGGUUUUGCUAUCACUUAUAGAUGGACCCGCGCCGUAUUAGCUAGUUGGUGAGGUAAUGGCUCACCAAGGCAACGAUACGUAGCCGACCUGAGAGGGUGAUCGGCCACACUGGAACUGAGACACGGUCCAGACUCCUACGGGAGGCAGCAGUAGGGAAUCUUCCGCAAUGGGCGAAAGCCUGACGGAGCAACGCCGCGUGAGUGAUGAAGGUCUUAGGAUCGUAAAACUCUGUUAUUAGGGAAGAACAAACGUGUAAGUAACUGUGCACGUCUUGACGGUACCUAAUCAGAAAGCCACGGCUAACUACGUGCCAGCAGCCGCGGUAAUACGUAGGUGGCAAGCGUUAUCCGGAAUUAUUGGGCGUAAAGCGCGCGUAGGCGGUUUUUUAAGUCUGAUGUGAAAGCCCACGGCUCAACCGUGGAGGGUCAUUGGAAACUGGAAAACUUGAGUGCAGAAGAGGAAAGUGGAAUUCCAUGUGUAGCGGUGAAAUGCGCAGAGAUAUGGAGGAACACCAGUGGCGAAGGCGACUUUCUGGUCUGUAACUGACGCUGAUGUGCGAAAGCGUGGGGAUCAAACAGGAUUA